GUUGGUAUUUUUGUGUCUAACGAUGUUGUACUUAUGUUGGGCGAAUCUCCUAGUCAAGGUAUUGCCCGUCUCGCCUACGUACAUUACGCCACAUCGUUGACAUCUAAUAACAUACACACAAUUUUUGGUGUGUAGUCCGCCACGACACAACGGCUGGAAAACCUUGCGGUUCUGGGGGUUCACAAACCAUGGCGCGUAGCGGACUAGGGCGUCCCUCCGGGUGGAGGGCGGGUCCCCCAAUGAACUGACCCUGGCCCUGACCAACAUAUCAUUCAAGUUGGGGUUCUUCCGCCGCAGGAGAGUAGGUGGUGAUAAGAGGAAUCAUGUCCGUACCAGGAGGAGGUGCCCUCGGGUCCAGGAAGACCCUCAUCUGUCUUCUGAGGAAGGACCUGGAGUAGCCCCUCCCCUUCAGAGCAGUGAAGAGGGCCCUCGAGGCCGCCAAGAAGUCCUCCUGCCUAGUACAAAUCCUAUGAAACCUAAGUAACUGCGAUUUCACCAGCCCCGCAAAGGUGUGCUUGGGGUGGAAGCUGCUUUUGUAGAGGAGCGCAUGGGUGUCCGUCUCCUUGAAGAACACUUUUAUGUCCAAAAGUUGCGUUUUGGCAAAAUUCGGACCCUUGAAUGU